CCUACGGGAGGCAGCAGUGAGGAAUAUUGGUCAAUGGCCGGAAGGCUGAACCAGCCAUGCCGCGUGAAGGUCAGUGCCCUAUGGGCGUUAAACUUCUUUUGUGCGGGAGCAAUAAUGGUCACUUGUGGCCAGACGAGAGUACCGUACGAAUAAGCAUCGGCUAACUCCGUUCCAGCAGCCGCGGUAAUACGGGGGAUUCAAGCGUUAUCCGGAUUUAUUGGGUUUAAAGGGUGCGUAGGCUGUGAGGUAAGUCAGCGGGGAAAUGCCCCCGCUCAACGGGGUGAAGUGCCAUUGAUACUGCCUUGCUGGAAUGCGGAUGCCGUGGGAGGAAUGUGUGGUGUAGCGGUGAAAUGCAUAGAUAUCACACAGAACACCGAGUGCGAAGGCAUCUCACGAAUCCGCGAUUGACGCUGAUGCACGAAAGCGUGGGUAUCAAACAGGAUUAGAUACCCGGGUAGUC
rnacentral:rRNA from 1 species